AUUGAACGCUGGCGGCAGGCCUAACACAUGCAAGUCGAACGAGUGGCGGACGGGUGAGUAAUGACUGGGAAACUGCCCGAGGGAGGGGGAUAACUACUGGGAACGGUAGCUAAUACCGCAUACCAUCGGAUGUGCCCAGAUGGGAAUGGCUAGUAGGUGGGGUCACGGCUCACCUAGGCGACGAUCCUUCGCUGGGCUGAGAGGAUGACCAGCCACACUGGAACUGAGAAACGGUCCAGACUCCUACGGGAGGCAGCAGUGGGGAAUAUUGGACAAUGGGCGCAAGCCUGAUGCAGCCAGGCCGCGUGUAUGAAGAAGGCCUUCGGGUUGUAAAGUACUUUAAGCGGGGAGGCGUUACCAGCAGAAGAAGCACCGGCUAACUCCGUGCCAGCAGCCGCGGUAAUUC
rnacentral:rRNA from 1 species